UACGGGGGGAGCAAGCGUUGUUCGGAUUUACUGGGCGUAAAGGGCGCGUAGGCGGCCAGCACAAGUCAGUUGUGAAAUCUCCGGGCCUAACUCGGAAAGGUCAACUGAUACUGUGCGGCUAGAGUGCAGAAGGGGCAACUGGAAUUCUCGGUGUAGCGGUGAAAUUCGUAGAUAUCGGGAGGAACACCAGUGGCGAAGGCGGCGACCUGGGCUGAUAUUGACGCUGAGGUUCGAAAGCGUGGGGAGCAAACAGG
rnacentral:rRNA from 1 species